GAUCUGCUUGCUAUAGGGCUUUGAUAUGGAGCGGGGAGAGACUGAGAAGUCUCUGAAUAUCUUCUAUAUUAUUAAUCCCCGUAGACGUGCCUCUGUGGGGAUGCGUCCCGGCAACCCAGUGGAUUGGCUGGGAAGCCGAGGCGCCGGAUUGGCUGGGCGGUGGAGCUCACGCACGGCAGGAUUCAUGAGACUGUUGAGCUGCUGCCCAGGGAAAUGGCGGACGGCGGCGGGACCAGCCGUGGCGGGCACUGUGCACCGGCAGUGUGAGGAAGCGGCAGCAGGAGCAAACGGGCCAGCAAGCCGUAUGGUUGAGCUCUAGAUUGGCUCCUCUCUUCUGGACUUCUGUUGGCCGUUGAAAAGUGAGUUCUUCUCCUGAGCCUUGGAGGGGUGGGGAGAGAGAGAGAUCAGGAUGUAAGGGAACCAGAAUUUAAGGUCUAUCAAAGGGGGUGAUUCUUUCCUAUACCCACUGUAUCCUUUUGGGGGGUGACCUUUGUUUUCAACUGUGUGCAGUGCAAUUCUAUAUAUGCUUACUCUGAGGCAAUUCCAGCUGUGCUCCAAUGGAUUAAUUCCCAGGUAACCGUACAUGUUAUUGUACCAUUAAUCCUGUCUGUGUCUAGUGGUUUAUUACUAGAAAUAAUAAUAGCUGUAGCUGGACACCAAUAGCAGCUUAAGCUCAGGGAAAUAUUAUGUGCUUUGCUAUAAUUAAAUUUUGGUUGUGCGGCACCACUCAAAAACAGAGAAAUGUACAGAUAAAGAACACUUGAUGAGAAACAAAAUGUUUCCGAUUAAUAAAGUUUAUU